ensembl:snRNA U2 U2 spliceosomal RNA
AUAACUUCUUAGUCUUUUGGCUAAGAGCAAGUAUAGUAUCUGUUCUUAUCAAUUUAAUAUCUGAUAGAUCCUCUAACCAAGGACAAUAUAUUAAAUGGAGUUUUGGAGCUGGGAGAUGGUAUGGGAACUUGCUCCAUUUAUUCCAUGCAUCAACCUGGUAUUGCAGUAACUCCAGGAAUGGUGCACCCCUC